AGAAGUAGACAGAAUCCACUGGUAUAAUUACACUGGUGAAGUUGAGGAAACAGAGCUUAGGAAGCUUAUGGACACUGACCAAGGCAUUUAAUUGAAAGAAGCAGGAGAAAAAGGAGAUAAGAAAACCUUCUGGAUUGGAAAGGGGCUCUGAUCCAUACCCCAAGAGAGGGUUGUUGAAUCUCUUGCAAGAAAGAAUUUGGGUGAGUCCACAGACUAACGUG
rnacentral:lncRNA from 10 species